GUCGCCGCCGCCGAGACCAAGAUGGCCGCGAGACUCCGCACCUUCUUCAAGAAUGCCUGGGCCAAGGAGCCGGUGCUCGUCGUGUCCUUCGUCACUGGGAGCCUCAGACCCCCAGGACCCCAGCCUGGAGUGGCUGAAGAAACUGGAAACUUGGGACAUGGAGAAAGACACACACAGACACAGGGAAGACACCACGUAGAGAUAAAGGCAAUGGUGUGGCAGAGGCAUCUACAGGUCAAGGAAUGGCAAAAUGUGUCAGCAAGAUGACAUUCCACCAGAAGCCAAAGAGAAGCAUGAACAGAUUCCCCACAGCCCUCAGAAGGACCCAGCCUGCUAGCAUCUUAAUCUCACACUUCUGGCCUCCAGAACUGAGGGACAAUAAAUUUCUGUUGUUUAA